GUGACACCUUCAGACUAUGUGAACGUUACUAACCGUUGGAGACACGACCGUUACACCACCCACUUUUUACCUUCCCCAUUUAUUCACAUUUACCCACAUUUAUUUACUUUUCAACCACUCCCUUUCCAACUUCCAAAUCUUUUCCUAUAAAUACCCACCAUACCUUUCUUCAUAAACCACAAACCAUUCUAUAAAAUCAAUUUCAU
rnacentral:lncRNA from 1 species